AUGAAGAGGAACACAGAGCUGGAGACUGAGAAUCUACAGCUGAACUGGUCACCCAUUGCGAUGGGGGCUAAAGACACAGCAAUCCUGCCAAGUCCUCCCCCACACAGCAGCUGGCAGGAUGGGCUUGCCAAUAGGUCCCUGGGACACAUCUUUCUGCAAGGAGUGCAGAGGGAGGGCUCUGAGAAUAACACAGACAGCCACAAGCUUUGCCCAAAGAAACAUCACAUUGAAACAGCUCCGGCCACAGAAAGCUCCUUCCUCAAGAUGGUGAGUACAUUUAUGGAGUAUGCUGAAGUUCAUGCUCUGGAAGGCGAAUUUGAUUCAUGUUACGCCACAAACUGAAAUAACUGAUGAUGAUGGAGACACUGCCACCUUCCAGUGCUGGGAGAAGAUGGGAGUACAUGGAGAUACCACGUCCACUGGAGUCAAACAAACCAGACUGGAACCAUGACUCUGCCAG
rnacentral:lncRNA from 13 species